rnacentral:rRNA from 1 species
GGCGAACGGGUGCGUAACACGUGAGCGACCUCGCCCUUCCGGCGGGGGAGUAGCCGGGCCAACGCCCGGGUAAUACCGCAUACGUUCUUUCUGGGGCAUCCCGGGAAGAAGAAACUUCCGGGGCGGAGGGAGGGGCUCGCGGCCUAUCAGCUAGUUGGGGGGGUAACGGCCUACCAAGGCAUCGACGGGUAGCUGGUCUGAGAGGAUGAUCAGCCACACUGGGACUGAGACACGGCCCAG